rnacentral:rRNA from 1 species
UACGAAGGGGGCUAGCGUUGUUCGGAUUUACUGGGCGUAAAGCGCACGUAGGCGGAUUGGUCAGUUAGAGGUGAAAUCCCGAAGCUCAACUUCGGAACUGCCUUUAAUACUGCCAGUCUAGAGUCCGGAAGAGGUAAGUGGAACUCCUAGUGUAGAGGUGGAAUUCGUAGAUAUUAGGAAGAACACCAGUGGCGAAGGCGGCUACUGGUCCGGUACUGACGCUGAGGUGCGAAAGCGUGGGAGCAAACAGGAU